GGCACUUUGGCGGAGUGGUUAACGCGCUUCCCUGCUAUUUCACCCUGCGGCUUCGGCCCCACGAGUCAUGAAAGGAAGUCCCUUCGGGGGCGCAGAUUCGAAUUCUGCAGGUGUCG